rnacentral:lncRNA from 1 species
GCGGAGAUCGCGUCUCUUUCGCUCCGUGUCCCGCUGCUGCUCCUGUGAGCGCCCGGCGAGUCCGUCCCGUCCACCGUCCGCAGCUGGUAGCCAGCCUGCCCCUCGCCUCGACUCCCUUUCACCAACACCGACACCCACAUUGACACCUCCAGUCCGGCCAGCCGCUCCACUCGUUGCCUUUGCAUCUCCACACAUGGCGUCCUCCGCGCAGAGCGGCGGCUCCUCCGGGGGACCCGCGGUCC